rnacentral:rRNA from 1 species
ACAAGCUACUUUUAAGGCGUGCGGCGGAUGCCUAGGCACUGGCUGGCGACGAAGGGCGCGGAAGGCCGCGAUAGGCCGCGGGGAGCCGUCUUCAGGCUUCGAUCCGCGGGUGCCCGAAUGGGGAAACCCGGCGCGAUAUGUCGCGUCGCCGGAGGGGGAACACAUGCCCCGCCGGAGCGAACCCCGGGAACUGAAACAUCUAAGUACCGGGAGGAGAAGAAAGAGAAUCGAUUCCGUCAGUAGUGGCGAGCGAAAGCGGAGGAGCCCAAAUGGGGAGGAAUUGCGCGAUUCGGAGGGGAACGGCCUGGGAGGGCCGGCCACAGAGGGCGACAGCCCCGUACCCCGAGAAGGACGCAUGUCUCCCCGAGAGAGUACGCCGGGUCACGAGAAACCCCGGCGGAAGACGGCGGGACCACCCGCCAAGGCUAAACACAGACCAGUGACCGAUAGCGAACAAGUACCGUGAGGGAAAGGUGAAAAGAACCCCGGGAGGGGGAUGAAAAGAUCCUGAAACCGCAUGCCGGCGACCGGACCGAGGGCGUCGAAGCCUGAGGUCGUGCCUAUUGAAGAAUGAGCCUGCGAGUUGUCGAUGCCAGCGAGGCUAAGCGGAAGACGCGGAGCCGCAGGGAAACCGAGCCCGAACAGGGCGCGAGUUGGCACCGGCAGACCCGAAACCCGGCGAUCUAGCCAUGGCCAGGAUGAAAGAGGGGCGAAACCCUCCGGAGGUCCGAACCGACGUUCGUUGAAAAGACCGCGGAUGAGCCGUGGCUCGUGGUGAAAUUCCAAUCGAGCCGGGUUAUAGCUGGUUCUCCCCGAAAUAGCUCUUGGGCUAGCCUCGGGGCUGUGCGCCGACGGAGGUAGAGCCACCGAUGGGGCGAGGGGCGCGUCGAACGCCUUCGAGCCCCGCCGAACUCCGAAUGCCGCCGGCGAAGCCCCGGGAGUCGGUCUGCGGGAGAUAAGUUCCGUGGACGAGAGGGAAAGAGCCCGGACCGCCGAUUAAGGCCCCAAAGUGCGCGCCGAGUGCUGAGAAGGAGGUGGGGCGGCUCAAACAGCCAGGAUGUUGGCUCAGAGGCAGCCAUCAUUCAAAGAAUGCGUAACAGCUCACUGGUCAAGCCGCCCCGCGCCGACAAUUUACCGGGGCUAAAGCGCGCCGCCGAAAUCGCGGGAUCCGUAGGAUCGGUAGGGGAGCGUCGCCUGUGCGGCGAAGCGGGACCGCGAGGGCCCGUGGAGCGCAGGCGAGCGAGAAUGCAGGCGUUAGUAGCGACGGGGGGUGGGAAUCCCCCCAGCCGGAUGGCCGAGGUCUCCCGGGCGAGGUUCGUCCUCCCGGGGUCAGCCGGGGCCUAAGACGAGGCCGAGAGGCGCAGUCGAUGGGAAUGCGGCGAAGAUUCCGCAGCCCGUCCGCGUGGCGAUGACCGUGACGGGGGUGGCAAGGCAGCCCGGGCGAUCGGAAGAGCCCGGCGGCCGGCGCGCAGGGGCGGGGGAGCCAAAGCUCUUCCCCGGAUGCCCCAGGGCCGGACGGGAGGAAAGCGGGAGACCGCGAGUACGAAGGCGCCGGGGACACCCUCCAGGAAAAGCGGCUAGCGUCAGAGCGCGGGCGGCCCGUACCAAGAACGGACACACGUGGCCUGGGCGAGAAGCCCGAGGCUAGCGAGACAACUGUUGCUAAGGAACUCUGCAAGACUGCUUCGCAAGCUAGCGAGAAGAAGCGCCCGGGGGCGAACAGCCCCGCGGGCCGCAGCGAAGAGGCAGGGGUGACUGUUUACCAAAAACACAGCUCUGUGCGAAGCCGCAAGGCGACGUAUACGGGGUGAUGCCUGCCCGGUGCUGGAAGGUUAAGGGGAGGGGUCAGGCCGCAAGGCCGAAGCCCCGAGCCGAAGCCCCAGUGAACGGCGGCCGUAACUAUAACGGUCCUAAGGUAGCGAAAUUCCUUGUCGGGCAAGUUCCGACGCGCAUGAAUGGUAUAACAAUCCCUGCACUGUCUCGGCAGCAGACUCGGCGAAAUCGUAAUACCGGUGAAGAUGCCGGUUACCCGCGACUAGACGGAAAGACC